rnacentral:lncRNA from 1 species
CUAAUGACUCUCCCGUAUGCAUGGAUUCCAAAUUCCAUAAGGUGUUCUAUCUUAGAUAUUUGAUACAUACCAUUUAUACCAGGAGGACAGAAAUAUAUAUUUUGCAACUAACUACAAAACCGGCAAGUAGCUAAAGAAAAUGUGCAUUUUCAACAUAUUGUAUGAGUACAGGAAUAAGGUUAAAUAAACAAACAUCAACUACCUACAAAGAUGUGCAGUGCAAGAGAGAAUGAGAGAUAGAACUGUGGAAGCAUGGUUGUGCAAUAAUCAUUUGUAUGAAGUAAAAGUAGAGGUUGGGCAGCAUGGAUACAGUUUUGUUAUCAUACUCAUUGUCGGGGAAAAACCAACACCUAUGGGAAACUAGAGGAGUCCCUUGAUCGUUUGGCGGGGAGAAGGAGGUAUGGCGUCGAGAGCGGAACUAGCAAUCAACACCGGCAAGGUCCCUUUUACCCAGGUUCGGGCCACUUGGCGCGUAAAACCCUACUCCUGCUUAGUUUGUAUUGUGGGUUUACUAUAGGUUGAUUUUGCUACAGUAACUUAGUAGGUGGUUAGGGAGUCUCUGAUCCCCAAAAAGUCCCCAAAAAGUCCAACCCCAAAGAAUGAGCUUUGGGCCUCCUUUUAUAGGCAAAGGGGUCACCAACAGUGUGCUCACAGGAGGUACAGCGAACAGUGUUCACCGCUUUACUUCUUCGGUGGUGUCAGGGGCAGUAAAUGCCUUGUCUGGCCCCUGACCUGCCGCAAGGUGGUUGCGACACGUACCCAGGUCAAUCGACACCUGGGCCUAGCGCUGGCACACGAGGGGUGUGCUGGAGCGGUCGGAUUGCGGUAGAAACUUGUGGGGAUACCUGGCGAGCCACAGGGACUUGCUGGCCUGGAGCCUCCUUCGGGUGACUCGGUCACCUCCCCGGCAAGGAAGGCUUGCCGGGAGCCUUGGACACUUUCCUGACAAGGAGGGUUUGCCGAGGGCCUCGCCAGUCUGUGCGAGUCUUCCAGGCAAGGGAAGCUUGCCGGGGCCUUGCUAAUCUUCGGGUAGUCUUCCCGGCGAAGUGGUCUUGCCGGGGCUUUGGUAAUCUUCCCGGCAAGGAGGGCUUGCCGGGGCCUUGCGUCUGGAACCCUUGUAUUCCACGCCCCUAGAGAGGGAAGGGCGUGGCCUUGGUGGAUCUUGGAUCGCCUCCCUGUUGUUCUUCCCGGCACACUGCUGUCGGGGGCGUUGUCGAUGCCCGUGCACAAGUCUGGGGCACAAGGGACCCCAGUCUCUAGUGCACCGACAGGAGCCCCCGGGCCUGGGCCACGCCGGCACGCGGGGCGUUGCUGGGCCAGGCCCAAAGUAGUGCACGGGCUUCCCUAGCAGAGAGCUCUGCAGUCUUGGAGCCGUUGCAGGCGGCCCUUCCCCACGUCGCGCAUAAAACGCGCGACGUGGAGAAGUGCGCGCAUAGUAACCUCCCCACCUCCCGACGCAUUACCGCCACUCGUGAAGCAUGCGCAGUAAAGGUUGGGCAAGUGGCAUUCGUGGCCAUAAUGGCCGCAGUCGUGGCAGGACCCGCCCCCGCAUGCAUUGGUGCAGCGGGGCGGUUCCCUGUUCGCAUGUGAUCAUGGGUGACUGGGCGGAUGGGGUGGCGGUUUCUGGAGUGAGGGGUGUCAUCCCCCCGCGCCUUCCCUAUAAAUUAAGGAGUUUGCGAGGGGGUUUUGCUCAUCCAUCAGCUCCCGGAACAUCACCACUCCUAGCUUUGGAUCUGUAGAAUCUUUUCUAGCUUCAGGUGGCACUCGCCCCUAACCAUGGCUAGGGGACGAGGGAGGCCACCAUCGGCCGCCAGGGCGGCAAGGGGAUCCCACUCGGAUCAUGCCACAACUUCAGGGGGUGCAGCCGAAGGGCGAGGAGCCGCGGUCGGCAUCUCCGUCUUCUCCUGGGCUUGUUCCCGCGGGAACUCAUGUUGAAAGGACUCCGUUGGAGUUUCUUAUUAGACUGCAAGGUCGCAUCCGGACCCGGCUUCAACUCCCCAUCACCUUCGCCAAGGUGAUGAGCGAAGAGAAGCCCCCGAUGUUGCGGCUUCAGGUGCACGGGUGCGGCAACGGCGCGGUCCCGGUGGCCGUGUAGCAGCUAGGACCUCGGCUCCUGUUCCUCGGUCGCGGGUGGAAGAGCUUCGCCCGUGCCCAUAACCUCUGGGAUGGGCACGUUCUUCGCUUCAAGAUGAUGGCGGACAACCUGCUCUCCGUCAAGAUUUAAGGGAGCUCCGGUGCGCGCCUCGGCUACUGCGAAGAGAGCUCGAGCGGGACUGGCAGCCCUUCCUCGCGCGAGAGCGACGAGGACGGGUUGGAUGGUAGCGAUGGCGAGCACGGGUCAGACCCUCGGUAGGCUAAGCCUGGGUACGAGGAUCUGACCUUGGACUGACCGUCGAUCGAACCAUCACCGUCAGUCCGCGGUCCUCCUCCUCCCCGGCAUGGGCUGAUGAGCCGGAAGAACCGACGCUGCCGCAUACCGCGGGAUUGCCUGGUCUUCGUUCCCGCCGUCCCUUCAGGCCCCGUUCUCGGCUGCGCAAUGCUGGCCCAGGAUGGGCCAGCAUUGGUCGCGCCGGGGGCCUUGCCGCUUCUUGUCUUCUUGAACUUCUGUCCGGCGAAUGUCCCUCGUCAAAAGACAGUGUAAUAGGUUAGAGUAGCAAAAAUCAUUCAUGUAGUAUGUCUGAGUUUGUUUCAAACAAAUGAAUGAAAUGUUGUUCCCUUUUCGUUCGAUUCUUUCCCUUGUAUGAUACGCCUUUUGCGUUUUCCGGAAGCUUGCCGACAUGAAUGGUCCUGCCGCUGGUGCUUUGAGGAACGGGUCCUUAGCAGUUCGCUUGAGGGGUCGUUACCGGCAAGGCUCCUUGCCACACUCAGUGCAACCAUUAGAUCGUCGAGCGCAGCUCAAGGCGAAAUAAGGUGUCAUGUAGCCACUUAGACUGUUGAACCGGUUCGAAACAGUGAGAAGGUGGUCUGUGGCCGUUCAGGUCGUCGAACUAGUUCGAAACAGAGCUAAGGCGCAAUGAUCCUGACAAGGUUCCAUCUACGCGCAGGUUUCUCAAACAAGGUGCGGGAUCUUUCAGAAAGGGAACAACCUAUCUACUCUAAAGUCUCAAUCUGAAAUAUUUAUCACUUACCUGUCAUGUCGCGGUAUUUCUCUCGCGACGCUUGGGUCUUUUGCCGGGGCUUCAGACCCCCGGCAAGCAGGAGACUAUACUCUUCCGGCAACUUCCCCUCCGGCAAGGUAUUUUGCCGACAGUUUCUCGACUGCCGUCUAGAAGGGGCGUUGCCGGAGUAUUGUUCCUUUUCAUGUUUUGCCUGGUCGUGCUGGCGGAGCCCCCGAACGCACCAUUGGCGAAGACGUGACGCUUCCGGGGGGGAAAGCGUUCGGCUGGAGUGCGCCUCAGCUACGGGGCCGGUAGGCGCAUUCUCGACGGCUAUGCACCUCUCCGUGGGGGUGCGUCGGCCGAAGUAUGCGCCGGAGGCCUCGCCGGAGCCCCCAGGCACACCCUCUACAGCAGCGCAUUGUCCCGGAGCGGUACGUCAGCCUGGUGCUCGCGGGCACGAGGUCUCCGCCCUCCCUAGCCCACGUUCGCGCAGCGAGGCGCUCGCGAAGGCGUCAGGAGAUCAUGGCGAAGUAGAGCAACCACUGUUGCGCCCUGCUUCAAGGGUCCGCAAUGGUGUGCUCCACCUCCCGAGAUCUAAUGCGGAACUUGCUUGAAUCCGCAAAGAAGACCUCAACCAUAGAUCCCCCUACCAGGCGCGCCAAAGAUGUCGGGAAAAAAGCAACACCUAUGGGAAACUCGAGGAGUCCCUAGAUCGUUUGGCGGGGAGAAGGAGGUAUGGCGUCGAGAGCGGAACUAGCAAUCAACACCGGCAAGGUCCCUUUUACCCAGGUUCGAGCCGCUUGGCGCGUAAAACCCUACACCUGCUUAGUUUGUAUUGCGGGUUUAAUGUAGGUUGAUUUUGCUACAGUAACUUAGUAGGUGGUUAGGGAGUCUCUGAUCCCCAAAAAGUCCCCAAAAGGUCCAACCCCUAAGAAUGAGCUUUGGGCCUCCUUUUAUAAGCAAAGGGGUCACCAACAGUGUGCUCACAGGAGGUACAGCGAACAGUGUUCACCGCUUUACUUCUUCCGUGGUGUCAGGGGCAGUAAAUGCCUUGUCUGGCCCCUGACCUGCCGCAAGGUGGUUGCGACACGUACCUAGGUCAAUCGACACCUGGGCCUUGCGCUGGCACACGAGGGGUGUGCUGGAGCGGUCGGAUUGUGGUAGAAACUUGUGGGGACACCUGGCGAGCCACAGGGACUUGUUGGCCUGGAGCCUCCUUCGGGUGACUCGGUCACCUCCCCGGCAAGGAAGGUUUGCCGGGAACCUUGGAUACUUUCCUGACAAGGAGGGUUUGCCGGGGGCCUCGCCAGUCUGUGCGAGUCUUCCCGGCAAGGGAAGCUUGCCAGGGCCUUGCUAAUCUCCGGGUAGUCUUCCCGGCGAAAUGGUCUUGCCGGGGCUUUGGUAAUCUUCCCGGCAAGGAGGGCUUGCCGGGGCCUUGCGUCUGGAACCCUUGUAUCCCACGCCCCUGGAGAGGGAAGGGUGUGGCCUUGGUGGGUCUUGGAUCGCCUCCCUGCUGUUCUUCUCGGCACACUGUUGUCGGGGGCGUUGCCGAUGCCCGUGCACAAGUCUGGGGCACAAGGGACACCAGUCUCUAGUGCACCGACACUCAUGAAUCGUUAUGGAUCAAGAAGGCAAAAUUGAAUAUUUAAUAAUCAAUGAAAACUC